rnacentral:rRNA from 1 species
UACGGGGGGGCAAGCGUUGUUCGGAAUUACUGGGCGUAAAGGGCUCGUCGGCGGCCAACUAAGUCAGACGUGAAAUCCCUCGGCUUAACCGGGGAACUGCGUCUGAUACUGGUUGGCUUGAAUCCGGGAGAGGGAUGUGGAAUUCCAGGUGUAGCGGUGAAAUGCGUAGAUAUCUGGAGGAACACCGGUGGCGAAGGCGGCAUCCUGGACCGGUAUUGACGCUGAGGAGCGAAAGCCAGGGGAGCAAACGGG